AGGUCUCUUGUCAAGAGUUAAUAGAGAAACCGGUGCAAAACCGGUACGGUCCCGCCGCUGUAAUGGUGAGCAAGCCUUAAUAUGUCACUGAGAAUUUAUUCUUGGGAAGGCAAGGUAAGCAAUGAACCAGAGUCAGAAGAACUGCCUGUUAAAAUA
rnacentral:ncRNA from 1 species